AGAGUUUGAUCCUGGCUCAGAUUGAACGCUGGCGGAAUGCUUUACACAUGCAAGUCGAACGGCAGCACGGGAGCUUGCUCCUGGUGGCGAGUGGCGAACGGGUGAGUAAAAUAUCGGAACGUACCCAGUAAUGGGGGAUAACUAGUCGAAAGAUUAGCUAAUACCGCAUACGCCCUGAGGGGGAAAGCGGGGGAUCGAAAGACCUCGCGUUAUUGGAGCGGCCGAUAUCUGAUUAGCUAGUUGGUGGGGUAAAGGCCUACCAAGGCGACGAUCAGUAGCUGGUCUGAGAGGACGACCAGCCACACUGGAACUGAGACACGGUCCAGACUCCUACGGGAGGCAGCAGUGGGGAAUUUUGGACAAUGGGCGCAAGCCUGAUCCAGCCAUUCCGCGUGAGUGAAGAAGGCCUUCGGGUUGUAAAGCUCUUUCGCAAGGGAAGAAACGAUACAGUCGAAUAAACUGUGUUAAUGACGGUACCUUGAUAAGAAGCACCGGCUAACUACGUGCCAGCAGCCGCGGUAAUACGUAGGGUGCGAGCGUUAAUCGGAAUUACUGGGCGUAAAGCGUGCGCAGGCGGUUUUGUAAGUCAGAUGUGAAAUCCCCGGGCUCAACCUGGGAACUGCGUUUGAAACUACAAGGCUAGAGUGUAGCAGAGGGGGGUAGAAUUCCACGUGUAGCAGUGAAAUGCGUAGAGAUGUGGAGGAAUACCAAUGGCGAAGGCAGCCCCCUGGGUUAACACUGACGCUCAUGCACGAAAGCGUGGGGAGCAAACAGGAUUAGAUACCCUGGUAGUCCACGCCUUAAACGAUGUCUACUAGUUGUUGGUGGAGUAAAAUCCAUUAGUAACGCAGCUAACGCGUGAAGUAGACCGCCUGGGGAGUACGGUCGCAAGAUUAAAACUUAAAGGAAUUGACGG
rnacentral:rRNA from 1 species